rnacentral:rRNA from 1 species
UACGAAGGGGGCUAGCGUUGCUCGGAUUGACUGGGCGUAAAGGGCGCGUAGGUGGCGCACACAGUCAGAUGUGAAAUUCCUGGGCUUAACCUGGGGGCUGCAUUUGAUACGUGUGUGCUUGAGUGCGGAAGAGGGUCGUGGAAUUCCCAGUGUAGAGGUGAAAUUCGUAGAUAUUGGGAAGAACACCGGUGGCGAAGGCGGCGACCUGGUCCGUGACUGACGCUGAGGCGCGAAAGCGUGGGGAGCAAACAGG